rnacentral:rRNA from 1 species
CGCACCUUGCGCUCCUUGGUAUUCCUCGGAGCAUGCCUGUUUGAGUAUCAUGAAAUUAUCAAAAUAAAUCUUUUGUUCACUCGAUCGAUUUUAUUUUGGACUUGGGGGUCUGCAGAUUCACGUCUGCUCUCCUUAAAUUCAUUAGCUGGAUCACUGUAGACUUGGUUCCACUCGGUGUGAUAAGUAUCACUCGCUGAGCACACUCGUAAAAAAAGGUGGCCGGGACUAUUAGAGAACCGCUUCUAAUAGUCUAUUAGCUUAGACAAUUACAUUUAUGAUCUGAUCUCAAAUCAGGUAGGACUACCCGCUGAACUUAA